rnacentral:rRNA from 1 species
UACGUAGGUGGCAAGCGUUGUCCGGAAUUAUUGGGCGUAAAGCGCACGUAGGCGGAUUGUUAAGUCAGGGGUGAAAUCCCGGGGCUCAACCCCGGAACUGCCUUUGAUACUGAUAGUCUCGAGUCCGGAAGAGGUGAGUGGAAUUCCGAGUGUAGAGGUGAAAUUCGUAGAUAUUCGGAGGAACACCAGUGGCGAAGGCGGCUCACUGGUCCGGUACUGACGCUGAGGUGCGAAAGCGUGGGGAGCAAACAGG